rnacentral:rRNA from 1 species
AGUGAACGCUGGCGGUAGGCCUAACACAUGCCAGUCGAACGGCAGCACAGUAAGAGCUUGCUCUUACGGGUGGCGAGUGGCGGACGGGUGAGGAAUACAUCGGAAUCUACUUUUUCGUGGGGGAUAACGUAGGGAAACUUACGCUAAUACCGCAUACGACCUACGGGUGAAAGCAGGGGAUCUUCGGACCUUGCGCGAUUGAAUGAGCCGAUGUCGGAUUAGCUAGUUGGCGGGGUAAAGGCCCACCAAGGCGACGAUCCGUAGCUGGUCUGAGAGCAUGAUCAGCCACACUGGAACUGAGACACGGUCCAGACUCCUACGGGAGGCAGCAGUGGGGAAUAUUGGACAAUGGGCGCAAGCCUGAUCCAGCCAUACCGCGUGGGUGAAGAAGGCCUUCGGGUUGUAAAGCCCUUUUGUUGGGAAAGAAAAGCAGCAGGUUAAUACCCCGCUGUUCUGACGGUACCCAAAGAAUAAGCACCGGCUAACUUCGUG